CACCACAAGUUGGUGAAGCUGCCAGCAUGAUCUGAUGUCUUUAUAUAUAUUAAUUACCUCUGAUUUCUCCCUGACUGUUAUGGAUCGAUGAAUUCAGAUAUGAGGGGAAGGAAGAAAGAGGAAUAAUGAGCAUCAGGUCAUGCUGUAGUUUCAUCCGCUGGUGGG
rnacentral:pre_miRNA from 1 species